rnacentral:rRNA from 1 species
AACGAACGCUGGCGGCGUGCUUAACACAUGCAAGUCGAGCGAGAAAGGGAGCUUCGGCACCUGAGUAAAGCGGCGCACGGGUGAGUAACACGUGGGUAACCUGCCUUUCAGUGGGGGAUAACAGCCCGAAAGGGCUGCUAAUACCGCAUUCGUCCACACGGUCACAUGUCUGUGUGGAGAAAGAGGCGCAAGUCUCGCUGGAAGAUGGGCCCGCGGUCCAUUAGCUAGUUGGUGGGGUAAAGGCCUACCAAGGCGACGAUCCGUAGCUGGUCUGAGAGGAUGAUCAGCCACACUGGAACUGAGACACGGUCCAGACUCCUACGGGAGGCAGCAGUGGGGAAUAUUGCGCAAUGGGGGAAACCCUGACGCAGCCAUGCCGCGUGUGUGAAGAAGGCCUUGGGUUGUAAAGCGACUUUCAAUGGGAGGAAGGGUAUACGUUAAUACCGUGUAUCUGUGACGUUACCUAUAGAAGAAGACACCGGCUAACUUACGUGCCAGCACG